ACAUGCAAGUGAACGAUGAACCUUAGCUUGCUAGGGGAAUUAGUGGCGGACGGGUGAGUAAUAUAUCGGAACGUGUCCAUUAAUGGUGGAUAACUAACCGAAAGGUUGGCUAAUACCGCAUACGCCCUGAGGGGGAAAGCUGGGGAUCUUCGGACCUGGCGUUAAUGGAGCGGCCGAUACCUGAUUAGCUAGUUGGUGGGGUAAAGGCCUACCAAGGCAACGAUCAGUAGCUAGUCUGAGAGGACGACCAGCAACACUGGACUGAGACACGGCCCAGACUCCUACGGGAGGCAGCAGUGGGGAAUUUUGGACAAUGGGGGAAACCCUGAUCCAGCCAUUCCGCGUGAGUGAAGAAGGCCUUCGGGUUGUAAAGCUCUUUCGCAAGGGAAGAAAAAAUAUAGGUUAAUAGCCUAUGUUGUUGACGGUACCUUGACAAGAAGCACCGGCUAACUACGUGCCAGCAGCCGCGGUAAUACGUAGGGUGCUAGCGUUAAUCGGAAUUACUGGGCGUAAACGUGCGCAGGCUGUUUUGUAAGUCAGAUGUGAAAUCCCCGAGCUCAACUUGGGAACUGCGUUUGAUACUACAAGACUAGAAUAGGUCAGAGGGGGGUAGAAUUCCACGUGUAGCAGUGAAAUGCGUAGAGAUGUUGGAGAAUACCAAUGGCGAAGGAGGCCCUGGGGAUCAUAUUGACGCUCAUGCACGA
rnacentral:rRNA from 1 species